GAACUAGCUGUUGUACCAUCUGUCAUCUGAUGUUCAACUGAAGAAAAACACCAGACUCUCCUUGGUCGGCAACCAUUUUCAUACUAAAGAAACCACAAGAUAAUAAGAAGAGGCUCCAAAAGAGGUGUGGAUUGCCCACAAGAGGUCUGAACGACAACAUGUAUUUUUACUGGAAGUCUGCUUACUAGCCAAAACCUUUGGAAAGUCAUGACACUAAUUUGGCAAGGCACUAUCUCCGUCUGCUUCACUGAAAACAUCUUAGACAGCCUAAUAAAUAAAAUGCACUUCGUUUUUGGGGGUUUUCAACUUGUCUUUCUCUUGGCCUGCAGUCUGUCAGCAGGCAGAGAUUAGAGAAUUGACUGGAUCUUAGCAAAUUUGGUUCGAGAGAAAUCAGAGAGGUAGCAGAGGAUAGGAGUGUAUCUCCUUUCCAGCCACCCCGGUGUUGAAAUAUUGCCAGCAAAUGCAUUAAAUACAAACCAAACAAAACCUCAUCACCCCACCAUAUACAAAGUUUUUGAGUUUGUGCUCUGCGAAGUCUGCUGUAAAAUAUCAAAAAUUAUUUCAAAGGAAGGACCAAGCUUAGAACUU